rnacentral:rRNA from 1 species
UCCGCCCGGGGACUACGAGCAAAAGCUUAAAACCCAAAGGACUUGGCGGUGCUUUAGACCCACCUAGAGGAGCCUGUUCUAGAACCGAUAACCCCCGUUAAACCUCACCUUUUCUUGUUAAUCCCGCCUAUAUACCGCCGUCGUCAGCUUACCCUGUAAAGGAAAUUUAGUAAACGAAAUUGGCUCAGCCCAAAACGCCAGGUCGAGGUGUAGCGAAUGAAAAGGGAAGAAAUGGGCUACAUUUCCUAAUUCAGGAAAUAACGAACUACAUGAUGAAACAGAGUAUGAAGGAGGAUUUAGCAGUAAAUAGAAAAUAGAG